CCAUGGUGGUCAUCAUGAUGGUUGUCGUGAUGUGUAUCAUGAUGGUUGUCAUGAUGGUUAUCAUGAUGGUUGUCAUGGUGAUUGUCAUGAUGGUUA